ACACCUCAACUCUCACGGUCUGCCGUGAUGAGCUUGGACUUUGGGGGUCUUGCCGGUCUACUGUCGGCUCCUCUCAAAUGAAUCAGCUUGCCAGUGUUUGGUGGCAUCACAGGUGUGAUAACUAUCUACGCUUGUGGUCUGCCACCAGGUAACCUCCAGUGAUGGAGGUUCGCUGGGGCUCACAAAUGUCUCUCCUUGCGAGGACAGCUUCUUGAAC
rnacentral:misc_RNA from 1 species